rnacentral:rRNA from 1 species
AAAACACAGCACUCUGCAAACACGAAAGUGGACGUAUAGGGUGUGACGCCUGCCCGGUGCUGGAAGAUUAAAUGAUGGGGUGCAAGCUCUUGAUUGAAGUCCCAGUAAACGGCGGCCGUAACUAUAACGGUCCUAAGGUAGCGAAAUUCCUUGUCGGGUAAGUUCCGACCUGCACGAAUGGCGUAACGAUGGCCACACUGUCUCCUCCAGAGACUCAGCGAAGUUGAAAUGUUUGUGAUGAUGCAAUCUCCCCGCGGAAAGACGGAAAGACCCCAUGAACCUUUACUGUAGCUUUGUAUUGGAUUUUGAACGGAUCUGUGUAGGAUAGGUGGGAGGCUUUGAAGUGAGGACGCUAGUUCUCAUGGAGCCGACGUUGAAAUACCACCCUGGUGCGUUUGAGGUUCUAACCCAGGUCCCUUAUCGGGAUCGGGGACAGUGCAUGGUAGGCAGUUUGACUGGGGCGGUCUCCUCCCAAAGCGUAACGGAGGAGUUCGAAGGUACGCUAGUUACGGUCGGACAUCGUGACGAUAGUGCAAUGGCAUAAGCGUGCUUAACUGCGAGACUGACAAGUCGAGCAGAUGCGAAAGCAGGACAUAGUGAUCCGGUGGUUCUGUAUGGAAGGGCCAUCGCUCAACGGAUAAAAGGUACUCUGGGGAUAACAGGCUGAUACCGCCCAAGAGUUCAUAUCGACGGCGGUGUUUGGGCACCUCGAUGUCGGCUCAUCUCAUCCUGGGGCUGUAGUCGGUCCCAAGGGUAUGGCUGUUCGCCAUUUAAAGAGGUACGUGAGCUGGGUUUAAAACGUCGUGAGACAGUUUGGUCCCUAUCUUCCGUGGGCGCUGCAGAUUUGAGGAAGCCUGCUCCUAGUACGAGAGGACCGGAGUGGACACACCUCUGGUGUAUCGGUUGUCACGCCAGUGGCAUUGCCGAGUAGCUAAGUGUGGAAGAGAUAACCGCUGAAAGCAUCUAAGCGGGAAACUCGUUUCAAGAUGAGAUCUGCCGGGGCCUUGAGCCCCCUGAAGAGUCGUUCAAGACCAGGACGUUGAUAGGCUGGGUGUGGAAGCGCAGUAAUGCGUUAAGCUAACCAGUACUAAUUGCUCGUGAGGCUUGACCCUAUAACUUUG